GCGGAGGCAAGGAGAGCUCAACAUGCGAAUCGUGCUCGGCCACAAGGCUCGGGCCAAGUCCUUGGAAAAGGGCAGCAGAGAGGGUGAGACUCCCGUGGUCGAGUGUUAUUGCAGCUCAAAGCGGGUGGUAAAUUCCAUCGACAUAUYUGGGACCGAUGAUAGGAAGUCAUACUUCUAGCCGCUGCGGCGGGGCUGUCUCGUCGCAGCUUUUGGGACGCGCAGUCCGAGGUAGCGCCGGUCCCGAGUGAGGCUGGCAAAAUGGUUUUCUUUUCCCCGUCUUAAACACGGACAG
rnacentral:rRNA from 1 species